UACGUAGGGGGCAAGCGUUAUCCGGAUUUACUGGGUGUAAAGGGAGCGUAGGCGGCCAUGCAAGUCAGAAGUGAAAGCCCGGGGCUCAACCCCGGGACUGCUUUUGAAACUGUAGGGCUAGAUUGCCGGAGAGGUGAGCGGAAUUCCUAGUGUAGCGGUGAAAUGCGUAGAUAUUAGGAGGAACACCAGUGGCGAAGGCGGCUCACUGGACGGUAAAUGACGCUGAGGCUCGAAAGCGUGGGGAGCAA
rnacentral:rRNA from 1 species